rnacentral:rRNA from 1 species
CUACGGGGGGCACCAGUAGGGAAUAUUGCGCAAUGGGCGAAAGCCUGACGCAGCGACGCCGCGUGAGUGAUGAAGGUCCUCUGGAUUGUAAAGCUCUGUAAGGAGGGAAGAACCGCCUGGUGUAACGGCCAGGUCUGACGGUACCUCCAAAGUAAGCACCGGCUAAAUAAGUGCCAGCAGCCGCGGUAAUACUUAUGGUGCGAGCGAUGUCCGGAAGGACUGGGCGUAAAGGGUGCGUAGGCGGACUUUCAAGUCAGGUGUGAAAUCCCCGGGCUUAACCUGGGAACUGCGCUUGAAACUGGAAGUCUAGAGUGUGUGAGGGGUUAGCGGAAUUCCCGGAGUAGCGGUGAAAUGCGUAGAGAUCGGGAAGAACACCGGUGGCGAAGGCGGCUAACUGGCACAUGACUGACGCUGAGGCACGAAAGCGUGGGGAGCGAACGGGAUUAGAUACCCCCGUAGUC